CACGCAUGACAUUUAUAGGAGAAUAUUCCAUAAUGUUUGUCCAAAAUCAAUUAGUUACAGCUUCAUGUAGAUGAGAUAUUAUUUUAUACUUACCAUGAUGUGGUUGCCCGUCACCCUGGUUGUAAUAACCUUUGUCAAUUUAAAUCAUUUAUUUUAUAGUCCUCAUGUAGGAUAUAAGGUUCACAAAUUUGGUGAGCGUGUUGACGGAGAUAUACUGUCUUAUCACAAUAAGGGUGUUAUACCUUUGUUUAAUCCAAUAUAUAAAGUAAAAAUCGAACCUGGCAGACAAGACGUAGAAAAGAACAUGACCCUCGUAACAGUCGAAUAUCUAAAUAGACAUACGGAAAUAAUCGUCAGUUACGAUCGACCGACACAGACGGUAACAUUUCGAUGGAAGUACCCUUUCGUGCACACGCAAUAUGAAAUCAAGGGGUACUCGCUUCCUAACCGGAUAACAAACAAGUCAAUGUCCUUAGCAAAUUUACAAAGCCUAAUAAAUGAAUUUAUGU